GAUGAACGCUGGCGGCGUGCCUAAUACAUGCAAGUCGAACGCUGAAGGAGGAGCUUGCUCUUCUGGAUGAGUUGCGAACGGGUGAGUAACGCGUAGGUAACCUGCCUGGUAGCGGGGGAUAACUAUUGGAAACGAUAGCUAAUACCGCAUGACAACAGUUAUUGCAUGAUAACUGUUUAAAAGGGGCAACUGCUCCACUACCAGAUGGACCUGCGUUGUAUUAGCUAGUUGGUGAGGUAACGGCUCACCAAGGCGACGAUACAUAGCCGACCUGAGAGGGGGAUCGGCCACACUGGGAAUGAGACCCGGCCCAGAACCCUACGGGAGGCAGCAGUAGGGAAUCUUCGGCAAUGGACGGAAGUCUGACCGAGCAACGCCGCGUGAGUGAAGAAGGUUUUCGGAUCGUAAAGCUCUGUUGUAAGAGAAGAACGAGUGUGAGAGUGGAAAGUUCACACUGUGACGGUAUCUUACCAGAAAGGGACGGCUAACUACGUG
rnacentral:rRNA from 1 species